CCUGCUUGUUGCGUAACCAUUUGCUGUAGUUCAUUUCGUAUUUUAUCCUGUUUUCUGUAUUGUGAGAUACUCAAGAGCACCUCGAGUCGAGCUUUUAGUUUCUCUGGCAUACUAUCGGAAUUCUGCACUCGGUUGUAUAGUGUAAAUUGGUGUUUUAAGACUUCGAAAGGACGCUAUUUCGUGGUAUUUUUGUGAUUUUGGUCACAAUGCCUAAACGAUGUGUGUUUGGUUGUUCACCUAGUGGAAACAGUCUUAGUAGCAUACUUUACGAAAUAUGAUUGCAUGCAGACAUAGAUGCCAGCCUUCAUUCAUUUCCAAACCCUAAAAGAUUCCGCCAGCAAUUGAAUUCUUGGGUUAAUCUUACUGGUGAUUUUGGAUUUACUAAUGAAGAGAUUUAAAAAAAAGAAAAAAGUUUCUGAUGUUGAUUUCAGCGACUGAGAUUGUAAUCGUAAUAACCAAUUCAAUGCUUUAGCCACUCCAUCUCUUCAUUUGAAUGGCUUUUAUGGAAAACUUCCUUACCCUAGUGAAAUGGUCAGUCAGGAAAUGGAACUGAACACCCAAUUAGACGCCGUUGCCGGUGGCUCAGCAUCUACUUCUGCUGUAACCACUCAACAGAAUGUUAAGCACAACAUGAAAAGAUCAUCAAAAAGGCAGUCAGAAUGUGCUGCUAUAAUGCUGGACCAUGGUUAUUGCAAGAAAAGAUCUUCAAAAGCUUCGGAAAGAACAGCGCCGUCCAAAUUGACAGUCAAUAGGUAUAGCAACCAUAGACCAAAGCACCAAAAACAAAUUUAUAACUUGAGAAGAGAAAUCUACACAGUGCGAAAAAGUGGUCAUUCAUUUAAGGCGCGGCUUGCAAAAGCCGAAAAACUGGAUGCCAACACUACUUUUCAAAAAGUAGUUAAAGGUAUGACGGUAAGGUAUUGUACUUGUCUUUGUAUAAGAGGAGUCCCAUGUGUUAUGCCUUGAUGGCAAAAUAUUUUACAUUGCCAUCAGCAAAAUGUUUGAAAAGAUUAAUUUCUGAAAUAAAACUAAAGCCGGGCAUCAAUAAAGUCAUUUAUGAAUAAUUGAAAACAGUAGUGCAUGAUUUGCCUCGCGAAGAUAAACUGUGCACUGUUUCAUAGUGAAGGGCAUUAAAAAAGGUACAAACAAUCUGUCGCUUAUUAUUUCACUAGUAACCUGAACAAAGAUGAAUUGAAAGUAAUAAUACAGGAAGUUAUCAAAAAUGUGCAAGCAAUUGGCUUGACCGUUUUAUGUACUGUGUGUGACCAAAGCACAGUAAAUGUGAGUGUCAUUAAUGAGUUUGUGGCCGAUAACAAAGGAAAUUAUCUCAUUUAUGAUGUUCCACAUUUAUUAAAAGGGCUGAGGAAUAACCUUCUUACCAAAGAUUUGGUUUAUAUUGACCUUGAAGACCAAAAACAGAAAUUCAUUAAAUGGGAAUACAUUGAACUACUGUAUGCUGCCGAUAAAGCAUUUGGAGAACUCCGAUUCCUGCAGAAAUUAACAGAGGAACAUAUUAGUUAAUAUAGCAAAUAUAAAAAAAAAUCGCGU